rnacentral:rRNA from 1 species
GAUGAACGCUGGCGGCGUGCCUAAUACAUGCAAGUCGAGCGAACGGACGAGAAGCUUGCUUCUCUGAUGUUAGCGGCGGACGGGUGAGUAACACGUGGAUAACCUACCUAUAAGACUGGGAUAACUUCGGGAAACCGUAGCUAAUACCGGAUAAUAUUUUGAACCGCAUGGUUCAAUAGUGAAAGACGGUCUUGCUGUCACUUAUAGAUGGAUCCGCGCUGCAUUAGCUAGUUGGUAAGGUAACGGCUUACCAAGGCAACGAUGCAUAGCCGACCUGAGAGGGUGAUCGGCCACACUGGAACUGAGACACGGUCCAGACUCCUACGGGAGGCAGCAGUAGGGAAUCUUCCGCAAUGGGCGAAAGCCUGACGGAGCAACGCCGCGUGAGUGAUGAAUGUCUUCGGAUCGUAAAACUCUGUUAUUAGGGAAGAACAUAUGUGUAAGUAACUGUGCACAUCUUGACGGUACCUAAUCAGAAAGCCACGGCUAACUACGUG